ensembl:miRNA
GACAGCGUGGCGUUGUAGGGCUCCACGACAGUGUCGGACACCUUGGGCGAGGGCACCACGCUGAAGGUGUUCAUGAUGCGAUCGGGAUACUCUUCUCGGAUCUUGCUGAUG